ACGUUUCUGUGAUUUUGAUGUACUGAACAAUUAUAAUCUUGUCAGAUUUUCUUUGGGAAAGAUUAUUAUUAUUUGGACGCUUGAAAAAGUAAACGUUUGUCUGCCGAAGACAAUCACGUGGUUUAAGGCCAUGUGCUUCCCUAGUAUCAACAGUGCCGAGGACGGCGCCAGUGAAAGGCAGGCGGUUUGCCGGAGCAACAAAGAGUCUUGAUUUUUAGAGGCAUGCAGGUUUUAAAGAAAGAAAACAGUGUUAUAAAGAAAGAAAAAGAUUGCAGAUGACACAGAGGGUUCAGGAACCAUAAAUUUUAUGUUGGUGUUUGAACUUCACCCUGAUAGACUUUGAGCACAUCAUAAGUUUUAGACCUAUGGACGAAAAUCUGGCAGUUGGAUGAUAAGGAAAACACAGCCUUGAUAAAUAUCAGAGAAGUCUCCUUAGAAGAGUGUGCCGGUCUGGACAAAAAGUUGCAAUGUGAAUAACUUGGAAGAAAAAAGAGUCAUGUUAAAUUUCAGAGAAUUCUUGAUGAAAGAUUGCAUGUGUUGUUCCUGUUCCGUGAACUUUGUCUUUUUAACAUUAUUUAACACUUCAUUUGAAAUGAUGCAUUUUUGAUACAUUUUCAUUAUUGAAAUAUUUACAUUUGAUACUCUAUUUAACCAUUGGGCCAAGAAAGAUGAAUACUCAUGUGGUAUCAUUGUCAGAUAGGGUAGAUUCAAGUUUGUACAUAUCAUGACCCCCUGGAUGUAGAGUGGGGCCACACUGAGAGUUCAAACUUUUAGGGAAAAAGGCCACAGUCAAAAAUAUAUAAACAUCCUUAUUUAGUGUACGUUCAAUUUUGUCAAAUCAUACCCCUCCCUUUUAGGGGUAUGUCAGGACCAUUUAUGCAUUUAAGUUUUUCAAUACUAAUCUGAUUUUUGCUUUUUUCUUAGCCACAUUGCAUAGGUGAACCAGUUGGUCCCUGAGCCUCUUGUAAAUCUGUAUAUUAUAUAUAUUUACCAAAAUAUUGAGGCAUUUUCUAUUUGAAUAUUUUGCAAUGAGAUUUUAAAAAAAAUUUCCUGAAAGUAAUUUGCACAUUUAUUUUAUUUAAAGUUGUCUGGUAAUGAUGUGUUAUUGAAUGGAUAUUAAAUAGUGAUUUUUUCUGGUGUUCUUUUGGACUUGAAUGACAAACAUAUAAUGGAAGGCAUGUUGGAAAAGUUGGAGCUCUGUCAUAUACAUGUGAUAAUUGUAGACCCAAAUAUUGUUCACCAACAUUGGAAAUACAUGUUCAAAAUAUGGGAGCUACUAUAUGGCCUAUAUACUGUAUGUGUACUUAAAAU